AUUGAACGCUGGCGGCAUGCCUUACACAUGCAAGUCGAACGGCAGCACGGGUGCUUGCACCUGGUGGCGAGUGGCGAACGGGUGAGUAAUACAUCGGAACGUACCUUAUCGUGGGGGAUAACGCAGCGAAAGCUGUGCUAAUACCGCAUACGCCCUGAGGGGGAAAGCGGGGGAUCGAAAGACCUCGCGCGAUUAGAGCGGCCGAUGCCUGAUUAGCUUGUUGGUGGGGUAAAAGCCCACCAAGGCGACGAUCAGUAGCUGGUCUGAGAGGACGAUCGGCCACACGGGGAUUCAGACACGGCCCAGAGUCCUACGGGAUGCAGCAGUGGGGAAUUUUUGACAAUGGGGGAAACCCUGAUCCAGCAAUGCCGCGUGAGUGAAGAAGGCCUUCGGGUUGUAAGGCUCUUUUGUCAGGGAAGAAACACCGGCUCUAACACAGUCCGCGAAUGACGGUACCUGAAGAAUAAGCACCGGCUAACUACGUGCCAGCCGCCGCUGUAA
rnacentral:rRNA from 1 species